UACGUAGGGGGCAAGCGUUGUCCGGAUUUAUUGGGCGUAAAGAGCGUGUAGGCGGCCAAGCAGGUCCGUUGUGAAAACUGGAGGCUUAACCUCCAGACGUCGACGGAAACCGCGCGGCUAGAGUCCGGAAGAGGAGAGUGGAAUUCCUGGUGUAGCGGUGAAAUGCGCAGAUAUCAGGAAGAACACCAAUGGCGAAGGCAGCUCGCUGGGACGUUACUGACGCUGAGACGCGAAAGCGUGGGGAGCAAACAGG
rnacentral:rRNA from 1 species